rnacentral:rRNA from 1 species
UACAGGGGGUGCAAACGUUGCUCGGAAUCAUUGGGCGUAAAGCGCACGUAGGCGGUUCGUUAUGUCGGAUGUGAAAGCCCUUGGCUUAACUGAGGAAGUGCAUCCGAAACUGGCGAGCUAGAGUACUAAAGAGGAUCGCGGAAUUCCCGGUGUAGAGGUGAAAUUCGUAGAUAUCGGGAGGAACACCGGUGGCGAAGGCGGCGAUCUGGGUAGAUACUGACGCUGAGGUGCGAAAGCGUGGGGAGCAAACAGG